rnacentral:rRNA from 1 species
UACGUAGGGGGCAAGCGUUGUCCGGAUUUAUUGGGCGUAAAGAGCUCGUAGGCGGUUCGAUAAGUCGGAUGUGAAAUCUCCACGCUCAACGUGGAGGGGCCAUUCGAUACUGUCGUGACUCGAGUCCGGUAGGGGAGUGUGGAAUUCCCGGUGUAGCGGUGGAAAUGCGCAGAGAUCGGGAGGAACACCCGUAGCGAAGGCGGCACUCUGGGCCGGUACUGACGCUGAGGAGCGAAAGCGUGGGGAGCGAACAGG